rnacentral:rRNA from 1 species
UACAGGGGGUGCAAACGUUGCUCGGAAUCAUUGGGCGUAAAGCGCACGUAGGCGGUUUGUUAUGUCGGAUGUGAAAGCCCUUGGCUCAGCUGAGGAAGUGCAUCCGAAACUGGCAAGCUAGAGUACUAAAGAGGGUCGCGGAAUUCCCGGUGUAGAGGUGAAAUUCGUAGAUAUCGGGAGGAACACCGGUGGCGAAGGCGGCGACCUGGGUAGAUACUGACGCUGAGGUGCGAAAGCGUGGGGAGCAAACGGG